AGCAGCCGCGGUAAUUCCAGCUCCAAUAGCGUAUAUUAAAGUUGUUGCAGUUAAAAAGCUCGUAGUUGAAUUUCGGGGUUAGUAGGUUGGUCAUGCCUCUGGUAUGCACUGGCCUCACUGAUUCCUCCUUCCUGAUGAGCCGUAAUGCCAUUAAUUUGGUGUUGCGGGGAAUUUGGACUGUUACUUUGAAAAAAAUUAGAGUGUUUAAAGCAGGCUCACGCUUGAAUACAUUAGCAUGGAAUAAUGAAAUAGGACGUUUGAUUCUAUUUUGUUGGUUUCUAGGAUUGACGUAAUGAUUAAUAGGGAUAGUUGGGGGCAUUAGUAUUCAAUUGUCAGAGGUGAAAUUCUUGGAUUUAUUGAAGACUAACUACUGCGAAAGCAUUUGCCAAGGAUGUUUUUCAUUAAUCAAGAACGAAAAGUUAGGGGAUCGAAGACGAUCAGAUACCGUCGUAGUCUUAACCAUAAACUAUGCCGACUAGGGAUCGGAUGAUGUU
rnacentral:rRNA from 1 species